GGGGGUGGUGCCAAAAGAGUCUGGAAAGGUCAGCAUGAUGUCCCCAGAUGAACGCCAUGUGUCACUAAUGAUUGAUGAAAUUGAGCUGUCGCCAAGUCUGGUUUACGACCCAUCAACUGGAAGGAUCUUGGGCAAGCCAACCCUUCUUCUUGCGGAUGGUAGCAUCCCGGAAAAGCGUCUUGCCAGACACGGCCCUGUAUUUAUGCUUGGCUGACUGACCAUAAGGUGGAAGCAGACUAUUGCAUACCAUUUUACUGGAAAGUCUUUCAGUGCUAUGAGUGGGAAAGAGAGCAUCCCGGUUCCGGGAGGAUCCCCUGGUGCCCCCUCCUUCCACUGCAGAUGCUGCCCCACCUGCAGUCCCGCCGGCUCUGUUCCGGAGCCAUCUGUUUAUGGUCCUGCCAGCCCGGACACCACGCAUCCGGAUCCCGAGGGUCAGCGUGCAGCCUAUGGCCUCAGUUCCUCUCCUUGAGGUUCCUCCUGCAGCUGGUGGUCCCUUCCCUAAGGGUCCUCCUGAGAUAGAGGAACCUGUGCUCGAGCAGGUGUGCUCUGGCACCCGAGCAGAAGCUGUCCCCUGGGACAUCAGCGGAUGGCAGCUGGUCAUCCAGCUACAGUGACACGGCGACUGAAGGUUCAACGUCCAGCACCUCC